rnacentral:rRNA from 1 species
CAAUAGCGUAUAUUAAAGUUGUUGCGGUAAAAAAGCUCGUAGUUGGAUUUCUACCGAAGAUAGCCGGUCGGGUCUUCGACCUUGUAUCUGGUUUUGUCUUUGGUAUCCUCAUAGGGAACGUUUCUGCGCUUUAUUGCGUGGUGCGGUAUCUAUGACUUUUACUUUGAGGAAAUUAGAGUGUUCACGGCAGGCAAACGCCUUGAAUAUAUUAGCAUGGAAUAAUAACAUAGGAUCUUCGUCCUAUUUUGUUGGUUUCUAGGGCUAAGAUAAUGAUUAAUAGGGAUAAUUGGGGGCAUCUGUAUCAACGCGUCAGAGGUGGAAUUCUUGGAUUGCGUUGCGACAAACUACUGCGAAAGCAUUUGCCAAGGACGUUUUCAUUGA